GAUGAACGCUGGCGGCGUGCUUAACACAUGCAAGUCGAACGAAGCACUUUAACCUGAUUCUUCGGAUGAAGGUUUUUGUGACUGAGUGGCGGACGGGUGAGUAACGCGUGGGUAACCUGCCUCAUACAGGGGGGAUAACAGUUAGAAAUGACUGCUAAUACCGCAUAAGACCACGGAGCCGCAUGGCUCAGUGGGAAAAACUCCGGUGGUAUGAGAUGGACCCGCGUCUGAUUAGGUAGUUGGUGGGGUAACGGCCUACCAAGCCAACGAUCAGUAGCCGACCUGAGAGGGUGACCGGCCACAUUGGGACUGAGACACGGCCCAAACUCCUACGGGAGGCAGCAGUGGGGAAUAUUGCACAAUGGGGGAAACCCUGAUGCAGCGACGCCGCGUGAGCGAAGAAGUAUUUCGGUAUGUAAAGCUCUAUCAGCAGGGAAGAAAAUGACGGUACCUGACUAAGAAGCACCGGCUAAAUACGUGCCAGCAGCCGCGGUAAUACGUAUGGUGCAAGCGUUAUCCGGAUUUACUGGGUGUAAAGGGAGCGUAGACGGCUGUGUAAGUCUGAAGUGAAAGCCCGGGGCUCAACCCCGGGACUGCUUUGGAAACUAUGCAGCUAGAGUGUCGGAGAGGUAAGUGGAAUUCCCAGUGUAGCGGUGAAAUGCGUAGAUAUUGGGAGGAACACCAGUGGCGAAGGCGGCUUACUGGACGAUGACCGACGUUGAGGCUCGAAAGCGUGGGGAGCAAACAGGAUUAGAUACCCUGGUAGUCCACGCCGUAAACGA
rnacentral:rRNA from 1 species